GCCCCCAUCGUCUAGAGGCCUAGGACACCGGCCUUUCAAGCCGGUAAUCGGGGGUUCGAAUCCCCCUGGGGGCA
rnacentral:tRNA from 1 species